GAUGAACGCUAGCGGGAGGCCUAACACAUGCAAGCCGAGCGGUAUUGUUUCUUCGGAAAUGAGAGAGCGGCGUACGGGUGCGGAACACGUGUGCAACCUGCCUUUAUCUGGGGGAUAGCCUUUCGAAAGGAAGAUUAAUACUCCAUAACAUAUUGAUUGGCAUCAAUUAAUAUUGAAAGCUCCGGCGGAUAGAGAUGGGCACGCGCAAGAUUAGCUAGUUGGUGAGGUAACGGCUCACCAAGGCGAUGAUCUUUAGGGGGCCUGAGAGGGUGAUCCCCCACACUGGUACUGAGACACGGACCAGACUCCUACGGGAGGCAGCAGUGAGGAAUAUUGGUCAAUGGGUGCAAGCCUGAACCAGCCAUCCCGCGUGAAGGACGACUGCCCUAUGGGUUGUAAACUUCUUUUGUAUAGGGAUAAACCUACCCUCGUGAGGGUAGCUGAAGGUACUAUACGAAUAAGCACCGGCUAACUCCGUGCCAGCAGCCGCGGUAAUACGGAGGGUGCAAGCGUUAUCCGGAUUUAUUGGGUUUAAAGGGUCCGUAGGCGGACUUAUAAGUCAGUGGUGAAAGCCCGUCGCUUAACGAUAGAACUGCCAUUGAUACUGUAAGUCUUGAGUAUAUUUGAGGUAGCUGGAAUAAGUAGUGUAGCGGUGAAAUGCAUAGAUAUUACUUAGAACACCAAUUGCGAAGGCAGGUUACCAAGAUAUAACUGACGCUGAGGGACGAAAGCGUGGGGAGCGGACAGGAUUAGAUACCCUGGUAGUCCACGCCGUAAACGAUGCUAACUCGUUUUUGGGCUUUAGGGUUCAGAGACCAAGCGAAAGUGAUAAGUUAGCCACCUGGGGAGUACGCUCGCAAGAGUGAAACUCAAAGGAAUUGACGGGGGCCCGCACAAGCGGUGGAUUAUGUGGUUUAAUUCGAUGAUACGCGAGGAACCUUACCAAGACUUAAAUGGGAAUUGACAGCUUUAGAAAUAGAGCUUUCUUCGGACAAUUUUCAAGGUGCUGCAUGGUUGUCGUCAGCUCGUGCCGUGAGGUGUUAGGUUAAGUCCUGCAACGAGCGCAACCCCUGUCACUAGUUGCCAUCAUUCAGUUGGGGACUCUAGUGAGACUGCCUACGCAAGUAGAGAGGAAGGUGGGGAUGACGUCAAAUCAUCACGGCCCUUACGUCUUGGGCCACACACGUAAUACAAUGGCCGGUACAGAGGGCAGCUACACAGCGAUGUGAUGCAAAUCUCGAAAGCCGGUCUCAGUUCGGAUUGGAGUCUGCAACUCGACUCUAUGAAGCUGGAAUCGCUAGUAAUCGCGCAUCAGCCAUGGCGCGGUGAAUACGUUCCCGGGCCU
rnacentral:rRNA from 1 species